ACGAGUCAUACCAUCCAUCAUAUAAUCAAUGAAAAGAGGGAAAGCGGCACCACCUGCGGAACGAACCAUUGUUUUAGCAGCCAAUGCUGACGCACAGUAAUUUUGAUAUACAUCGAUAAGAUAAUUGUUGGCACUAAAGUAAAACAACACCAUACCAUAACCGAAAGGAGCACCACUAAAAGCAGGACCAAUCCAAAUAAGUCUGGGGAAACUUGUCCAUGCAAAAAUCAAAAGACCAGUAGGAAUGAAAGGAGAAGCGAUACACAUACCGACCAAACGCCAUUCAGGAACAGACUUACCAUUGUUUGCAUCUAACUUGGCCAUAUAUUGUUUUUCAAGGAAGGGAGUAGUACUCAAAGCACCGACGACACCUACCAAAAUGGGAAUAAACAUCAAGCCAGUAAUACCCUCGUUGUAACCCUUACCCUUGACAAACACGUUGGGAUAUGCAAAGAAAUAACCAUACAACAGGGCAUAAAUCAAGGCAAUAUAACCAGAAAUACAAACAAGAAUGGGUUCGGUAAGUAGAAGGGUAAGGGGACGCGUAAGGUUAACUUGAACGAUUUCUUUGAAGGAAAGCAUUUGUUUCUCUUGGGCGGUAAACACUUGACGACCUGUUUCCUUACGAAUCCUUUGAGCACGCCAACGCAAAAGUACAGGGGCAUAAGUUUCAGGAACGGGAAGCAAAGUAAGAUACAUGACAAACAUGUAGAUCAUGUUGACCCAGAAAAUCCAACGGAAAUCACCAGUACCGACACCAAUCCAACCACCUACUAAUGGACCAAGAGUAGGGCCGGCAUAAGGACCAGCGGCAAAGAAAGCAAUAGCCAGACCACGUUCACGAGUUUCCCAGACAUCCGAAAUUACACCACCAGCCAAGGUAAGAGGUGUGCAGCCAAAGCAACCACAGAAGAAACGAACGAUAAGCAAACAAGCGAUAUUUGGAGCCAAAGCACAAGGGAUUUGCAAAACAAUAUAAAUCAUCAAAGUAACCAAAUAAACAAUACGACGACCAAUCAUUUCACUUAGAGGCGAAAUAACCAAGGGACCGAUACCAAAACCGACGACCAUCAAAGAACAAGAUAAGUUAGCAACUUCAGGGCCGACUUUCAAAUCACGACUAACAUCCUCAAGAUCACCAGCAAUAACGGAAGAACCAAAAGCACUACAAACGACAAGUAAGGAGUUUACAAUAGUAA